UUUAAUUUCGUAUUAAAACCGACAUUAAAGCCCAACAACCGACAUUAAGGCCCUUUAAUGUCGAUUUUAAACCGAUAUUAAAGGUCAAAUUUCUUGUAGUGUAGACGGUAAGACCCUAUGCACCUUUACUAUGGCGUCGCAAUGACAACCUUGAUCGAAUGUGUAGGAUAGGUGGGAGGUGGUGACACACAACGACCAAUCCUAAAAGACCACUCUUUCGUCUAAGGAUGCCUAACCGCUGCACCGAAUUUUUGAGGGGGGCGAAACACUGCAAGGUGCAUAGUUUAUCGGGGCAGAUGCCUCCUAAAGAGUAACGGAGGUGUGCGAAGGUAGGCUCAAGCUCAGAUCCUACUCAUGAGCGUAAUGGCAUAAACCUGCCUGACUUUGAGACCCACUAGUCGAACAGAGAUGAAAGUUGGCCAUAGUGAUCAAAGAGUUCUGUGUUGAAGGCUCUCGCUCAAGAGCUCUUAUUAACCGAGUCAUUUGGCACCUCGAUGUUGACUCAUCACAUUCUGGGGUUGAAGAAGGUCCAAAGGUUCGGUCGUUCACCGAUGAAAGUGGUACGUGAGUUGGAUUUAGAACAUCGUGAGACAGCUCGGUUACGAUCUACCGUUGGUGUGAAAGGGAGAAUUACGAGGAGCCAACCCUAGUACGAGAAGACUGGUUUGGGGCAACCUAUGGUGUACCAGUUGUUAAGCCAAUAGCAACACCAGGCAGCUAGGUUGGUACGGAAGAAUCGCUGUGUCGCGAGAAAUCCUUCUCUAUACAAGUUCUCAGACGAGGUUUUUGAACAUCACCUCGAUAGGCAAGAGGUGUAAGCACCGCAAGGUGUUCAGCGAUCUUGUACUAAACGAAAGAACUUGCACU
rnacentral:ncRNA from 1 species